GGAAUAUAGCUUAGUUGGUAGAGUGUUUGCCUUAUACGCACAAAGCCAUGAGUUCAAUCCCCAGCACCA
rnacentral:tRNA from 1 species